rnacentral:rRNA from 1 species
AGAGUUUGAUCCUGGCUCAGAUUGAACUAUGGCGCAGGCUACACAUGCAGUCGAGCGGUAGCACAGAGAGCUUGCUCUCGGGUGACGAGCGGCGGACGGGUGAGUAAUGUCUGGGAAACUGCCUGAUGGAGGGGGAUAACUACUGGAAACGGUAGCUAAUACCGCAUAACGUCGCAAGACCAAAGUGGGGGACCUUCGGGCCUCAUGCCAUCAGAUGUGCCCAGAUGGGAUUAGCUGGUAGGUGGGGUAACGGCUCACCUAGGCGACGAUCCCUAGCUGGUCUGAGAGGAUGACCAGCCACACUGGAACUGAGACACGGUCCAGACUCCUACGGGAGGCAGCAGUGGGGAAUAUUGCACAAUGGGCGCAAGCCUGAUGCAGCCAUGCAGCAUGCGCGUGUGUGAAGAAGGCCUUCGGGUUGUAAAGCACUUUCAGCGGGGAGGAAGGCGGUGAGGUUAAUAACCUCAUCGAUUGACGUUACCCGCAGAAGAAGCACCGGCUAACUCCGUGCCAGCAGCCGCGGUAAUACGGAGGGUGCAAGCGUUAAUCGGAAUUACUGGGCGUAAAGCGCACGCAGGCGGUCUGUCAAGUCGGAUGUGAAAUCCCCGGGCUCAACCUGGGAACUGCAUUCGAAACUGGCAGGCUAGAGUCUUGUAGAGGGGGGUAGAAUUCCAGGUGUAGCGGUGAAAUGCGUAGAGAUCUGGAGGAAUACCGGUGGCGAAGGCGGCCCCCUGGACAAAGACUGACGCUCAGGUGCGAAAGCGUGGGGAGCAAACAGGAUUAGAUACCCUGGUAGUCCACGCUGUAAACGAUGUCGAUUUGGAGGUUGUGCCCUUGAGGCGUGGCUUCCGGAGCUAACGCGUUAAAUCGACCGCCUGGGGAGUACGGCCGCAAGGUUAAAACUCAAAUGAAUUGACGGGGGCCCGCACAAGCGGUGGAGCAUGUGGUUUAAUUCGAUGCAACGCGAAGAACCUUACCUGGUCUUGACAUCCACAGAACUUUCCAGAGAUGGAUUGGUGCCUUCGGGAACUGUGAGACAGGUGCUGCAUGGCUGUCGUCAGCUCGUGUUGUGAAAUGUUGGGUUAAGUCCCGCAACGAGCGCAACCCUUAUCCUUUGUUGCCAGCGGUUAGGCCGGGAACUCAAAGGAGACUGCCAGUGAUAAACUGGAGGAAGGUGGGGAUGACGUCAAGUCAUCAUGGCCCUUACGACCAGGGCUACACACGUGCUACAAUGGCAUAUACAAAGAGAAGCGACCUCGCGAGAGCAAGCGGACCUCAUAAAGUAUGUCGUAGUCCGGAUUGGAGUCUGCAACUCGACUCCAUGAAGUCGGAAUCGCUAGUAAUCGUAGAUCAGAAUGCUACGGUGAAUACGUUCCCGGGCCUUGUACACACCGCCCGUCACACCAUGGGAGUGGGUUGCAAAAGAAGUAGGUAGCUUAACCUUCGGGAGGGCGCUACCACUUUGAUCAUGCAUGACUGGGGUGAAGUCGUAACAAGGUA